rnacentral:misc_RNA from 1 species
UUGCUUUGACGGUUCGGAAUAGGCGGGCCCUUGGGAGCCAACUCCGGUUUCGCGCCAACCUUUUUCGUUUCAGGAUCAACCUCUACGAUUCCAAUAUUCUGGAGCUCCAGAUCUUCGCACAUCGUGCGAACGAGCCAUAUCGGUGACCAAGGCGGCAUCAGGAUCCAAAAAUUUCGAAAGAACGUGGACUCGGUCGCGACGCGAGUCAUGCGUUUGGCCGUCUCGUCUUGUGCGACAUCUCCGUAAAUGGAGUAACAAUCCACCGCAUCGACGACGAGUUCAUUGUUCGAAUCUCGGAAAGCGAUGACGAGAUCGGGACUCGCAUAGCGAAGACCACCUGACCACCUGACCACCUUCACCUUCUCGGCUCCGGAAAAUUCCGGAAGUAUCGCUGCAUUCGUUUGAGUGAGCAGUUCAAGGCAAAAACUUUCGA